rnacentral:rRNA from 1 species
CUCCAGACUCCUACGGGAGGCAGCAGUGGGGAAUAUUGCACAAUGGGGGAAACCCUGAUGCAGCAACGCCGCGUGAGUGAAGAAGUAUUUCGGUAUGUAAAGCUCUAUCAGCAGGGAAGAAGAUGACGGUACCUGACUAAGAGGCCCCGGCUAACUACGUGCCAGCAGCCGCGGUAAUACGUAGGGGGCAAGCGUUAUCCGGAUUUACUGGGUGUAAAGGGAGCGUAGACGGCGAUGCAAGCCAGAUGUGAAAGCCCGGGGCUCAACCCCGGGACUGCAUUUGGAACUGUGUGGCUGGAGUGUCGGAGAGGCAGGCGGAAUUCCUAGUGUAGCGGUGAAAUGCGUAGAUAUUAGGAGGAACACCAGUGGCGAAGGCGGCCUGCUGGACGAUGACUGACGUUGAGGCUCGAAAGCGUGGGGAGCAAACAGGAUUAGAUACCCCGGUA